rnacentral:lncRNA from 1 species
UCACAGGUCGCGAGGAUAUAGAAAUAAAUGUGAUGACUACCUCCUCAAAACAAGACUUGGCGCGGUUACGGUAGCGGUGCGACGAACCGGUGUGCCCUUUUCAGGUAGCUUACUUUGCCCUGCUUCUCCCUUUUCUUUUUAUCACCUGUAACUAAAGCAAGCUUCUCCUUCUUUUUGCUCGAUCCGCGUCUAGUAGGGUUGAGGGUUCUCCUCUCUUUUUUUUGUGUCCUCCGCCGCAAUGAAUAGUAACUCUAUAUAUCCUUCAAAUUAGGGUGUGUCUUCUUUUUCAUACGUGUGAGAGAUGAGGACAAAAGCGUGUGAACCCAAGGCAACACAAAAGCUGGGUUCUGAAUCAAACCCCCCGACAGUGGCUUGUCCUCUGGCCCUGAUUUCAUGGUCUUGGUGGGGUAAACAUGUACUGGAGUGGGUAGGGAUUUUUUCAGGUAGUGAAAGUUUGCCUUCUCACUCUUAAGUGGUCCCUCUUUCUCGACCCUACACUGAUCACAACAUACAACUUCACUGUUACGUGAAUUUACUCCUUAGCACUUUUAUUAUAUUUCAGGACUUUGUCGUGUUUGGUGGUUCGUCUUGUCACAAUCUUGGCAUUAACAUAAUGUUCUCUUUUGCUUCUAGGUUCAAAAAGGGCGGUCGGACGGACUUGAAGGCAAAGUAACACAAAAAUCAUGGAGCAAACGAAACAUCAAUCGUCGCAGCGGGAGCUUGAUCGGGGAAUUCAACUCAAUGGAAAUAGGAUAACAUAAGGGUCUAGGAAACAAGUCCUGGAUUUCACGCCUCUUCUCUUCUCUCCUCUUGUUGAUUUUGAGAAUACUAAAACUGAUUCUUGUAGCUCACACCAUGCCGACAUUCACUUACGGUAAGCUUUUUCUUCUUUGUUCAUGCCAUCUUAUGUGUGUCGUAGGCUUGGCGAAUUUAUGCUGAAAUUGUUGUGUUUGAUACCGUGCAGGAUCAUCUUUGACAUACACUCUUUGUACCUCUUUGGUUCCUGAAACUUGUUCAUCGCCCGGGGACUUUGAAGCUGCAGCAGCACGUGUGGCCUCCUUAACAGGCAUUGCCGACAUUGCCAUGACAUCAGGCGUAGCACCAGUAUAAACAUUUGACAACUGACCAAACCAUUUAAGAGACGAAUCAACGUUACAAACAUUGAGAUAAAGGUUGUCAUUUAAACACAAGGCUCCUUCCAAUUCCAUUGAUAGUCUUUGUAGAAAUAACAUUCUCAGGAUAACUCGCCAGGUAAAUUUAGCAUAAACAUCUUGCUUAUGGUAUAUGCAGAUGUUCUGAAUACCCCUAGGUUGACGUAUGUAAAAAUCAAGCAUUCUCACACAUUCAUCAACAUUAACAUAAUAGUUAUUUUUGAAUUACUGUAAUCCUUGUUUGGGACUGCUAUGAAUUUCCUGCUACAACUUGUUGUUGGUGCAAUGUUCGACUGACAUUAUUACAUUGUGAAUUGGUAGGUUUGUCAAUAGAAAGCCGCAGGCUUGGUUUCUUGGUGCGCCGCUAAUGAAUAGACUUGGAGGUGUAUCACGGCAUGGUGGUAUGGACUAAUUUACCACAGCAGGAACACUGUAACAUUUUUUCCUUUCCUCCUCAGUGGUGCAAAUUUCACAUAUCUGAAAAUCCUCAUCAGAGUCAAUAGAUUCGCUGUCAGAAUCACUUUCAGGUUCUUCCUCACUUUUUGCAUCACUAGGAGGUUCCCACUUGGCGACUUUUAUGACCCUUCCUUUUAAUGAAACACCAGGGGUUGCAGAGUUCCUUGUGUCUUCGAAUAGUAUAAUAUCUGCCGAGUUCAACACUCGAAGAGCCCUGAAUGUGAUGUCUUCAAGAUUUCCAAUCGGUGUUCCGACGAGAUAAAGACCGGGUUUCAGAUGCUACGGGCGACGAUUAUCUG